rnacentral:tRNA from 1 species
AUUUAUAUAAUAUAUUUAGUAUAUUUGAUUUCCAACCAAAAAGUUUAAUUUAAUUUAAUAUAAAUA